rnacentral:rRNA from 1 species
CCUACGGGGGGCAGCAGUGGGGAAUCUUGCACAAUGGGCGCAAGCCUGAUGCAGCCAUGCCGCGUGUGUGAAGAAGGCCUUCGGGUUGUAAAGCACUUUCAGCGGGGAGGAAGGCGUUAAGGUUAAUAACCUUGUCGAUUGACGUUACCCGCAGAAGAAGCACCGGCUAACUCCGUGCCAGCAGCCGCGGUAAUACGGAGGGUGCAAGCGUUAAUCGGAAUUACUGGGCGUAAAGCGCACGCAGGCGGUCUGUCAAGUCGGAUGUGAAAUCCCCGGGCUCAACCUGGGAACUGCAUUCGAAACUGGCAGGCUAGAGUCUUGUAGAGGGGAGUAGAAUUCCAGGUGUAGCGGUGAAAUGCGUAGAGAUCUGGAGGAAUACCGGUGGCGAAGGCGGCCCCCUGGACAAAGACUGACGCUCAGGUGCGAAAGCGUGGGGAGCAAACAGGAUUAGAUACCCCUGUAGUC